UUUUGUUAAAGUGUAAGCUAACCUAACAAUAAGUACAAACUGCAUUUAAUUUCAAACUAAAAAUUCUUAGUUUACUAUAUUUUUGCAAUUGUGUUUAAAAGCUCAGAAAAAAUAAGUUUUUCAAUUUAUAACUGUAGGCGAUUGAAUGUCAGUGAUAACACAGGCUACUGUAAGCAUUGUUUUCUGUACACAAAAGCCUCUAUGAGAUUUAAAAAAAAAAAAAAGCCCAACUGAUGUCAGCCUGGGACGGAUCUGAGAAAUCUUUCUGAUGAAAGUGACCCUGAGGCUGGAAAUAAGGAAUCUGAAAAAGUUAGCCAGGAGAGAGGAAUAACAAUGUGUAGGGGAACACAGAAUUUCAGUCUUACUGGAAAUAAAGGAUCAAAGAAGAAUCCCUAGGGAGGCAGAUGUCACAACUCCUUAUUCGGAAAACUAUCCAAGGGGCAGCUAAAAACAGUUCUGCAAAGUGCCUCCCACUUCUAAAGCACCAUCCACAUACUUGGUAUGGUAAUAAUGAAUCUAACUGCCUAUUCCAGAACUCUCUGCUGUGAAGAGGCCGUGGUGGGCAAUGCCAAUUGGAAAACAAGGCUGUGGUUUGUGCCGCCUUCAGCAGAACCUGGUGCCAGCUCUGUGGCUCCGGAAACAGAGCUCAAUUGUAUCUUCCACUCCUCUCUCUUUUUAACCUAAUAAACUUUUCUGACAGGCAAUGGCACCACUCAGGCCUCACUGCCCGGUAGCCAUAUGAUCUCCAUCUGCACUGAGGUCAGCACAUAGGCAUAAAUGGAAGGAAGCAGAAAGCGUAUCAGGAGGAAACACAUGAAUGGAAUAAAAUGUAAACCAGACUUCUGUCCUGCCGUUGGCCCUCCCAGGCUACCAGAGACUCUUCCUCCUGGCUGACCUCUUCUACAGAGCCUUCUCCUACAUUCGCUGGGGAUCAACCACAGGAAGAAGAAGCUACAGAUGUUUCCUCAACAAAGCACUCUGAACAGAGCAGAGUAAUGCAGCUAUUCUGGACUUGGAACCAGAAGACCCAGCUUCACAUUCUGACAAAAGCACUGCCAUGCCAUGUCCCACAAAGAGAGAGAAAAUGCACCCACAAGCAGGGGAGGGGCAGAGAGAGAGAGACACACAGCAGCCAAAGCAGCCUCCAGGCUCUGAGUUGUCAGCAAGAGCCCGACGUGGAACUCGAACCCAUGAACCGCGAGAUCAUGGCCUGAGCCGAAGCUGGAUUGUCAACUUACUGAGCUACACAGGUGCCCUAAGUAUUUGAGAUUUAAAUGAUACAGGUUAAAAAUAAAAUUUGGAUUUUUAAUCCAAAAAAAAGUAUGAGUAUUAAAAGAGACUUCUAGCAGUAGUAUAAUAGCAUGAUGGGUUGUGGAGUCAAAUUCCUGCAAAUUCAAGAUUUGGAACAGACUACAUAAUCAUAGGUAUCAACUUUUCAUGCCACAUGUCCUCAUCUGUGAAUAAUUCUUUGCACUGUUUUCCAGGGUUAAAUGAGAAGGCAUAGCAGAGCAUCAUGUUUUUUUUCUUUCCUUUCCUUUCUUCUACUUUUUGACAUGCUUUCUCUGUUUCCCAAGCUCAUUAAAACCUGAAAAAGGAAAAUUACCUUAGUGGAUCCAAGCAAGAGAUACUGGCAUGGGAAUAUCAUGGAGCCAGGAGGAGAAUGAAUUUUUCUUGUAUGGCAGACAAUGUUAAACUCUGCUUCUGCACCCACAGUCUGGGGUAUCAUUUGUACUCUCACAAAUCCACAAUGCUUAGUUUAAAGAAGUUUUGGGUGAUGCAAGAUUGACUUGACAGUAUGCAGUUGCCAUUAUAAAGAGGGAUGCAGGGCUACAUAGGAAAACAAUGUGUCCAUGACUCACUGCGAUUUUAAAGGUUUGUUUUUCCCUGAGCUGACACUUACAAAGAUGUUCCUCAUGAGCUCAUGCCCUACAAUUUGAGGAAUGUAUUAUUAAGUCAACUGGUUGUCUUGUUUAUGCCUAUUUAUGGUUAUGGUACCUUAUUUAUGAGUCUGUGGUAUGAAUAGUUAAGCUUCCAUCAAUGAUAGUAGUUAGGCUGAGAGACUAAAGCAAUGACACACUUGCCCAGCAAAUAUAAAUGGGUACUACAAAAUUUUUAUACACAUGUAGUGGGAGGAUGUCUGGAAAGGCAGAAUCUGGUAUGUUUCUAACUCACACGUGUGUUGAAGGAACAAAUUCCUUGAAACCCAGGCCUAUUUUGCCAUGUAAAAGUUAUCAUUGGAUGUAACUCUCCCAGGAAAGAGUAAGUUAUUAUUAUUUUUUCCUUUCAGUGUAUACCUUGAGAAACUACUACAGGACAAACAGGUUGGCAAGGAACAAUGAAUGCAACUGUCUGACUCUGUGGGAGCAGUAAGGUUGAGUGUUCCUCUUCUCCCUCAAGAAGUUCUUGGCAUCAGGGCUAACAACUGGAAAUGAAUGGAAACAAAGUGCUUUAAGGGCCCCAGUGAUAGCAAUAGCCCAGUGUUCUUCAGAGUCAUAGAUGCUUUGUUUAAAGAUUUCCCAGAGGAGCAUCAGUGCCAGGAGGAAAACAGGAUCAACCCAAAGAAUCUUCUGUACAUGGCCAGGGUUAUUGCAUAGCAGCUGGGGCAACAUCAGUGAGGGGAGAAUUUCAUUGAAAAUAGCCUUCACUAGGGGCACCUGGGCAACUCAGUCAUUUAAGUGUCCAACUUUGACUCAGGUCAUGAUCUUGCAGUUCAUGAGUUCAAACCCGACGUUGGGUUCUGUGCUGACAGCUCAGAGCCUGGAGCCUGUUUCGGGUUUUGUGUCUCCCUCUCUCUCUCUGCCCUUUCCCCACUCUCACUCUGUCUCUUUCUCUCUCUUUAAAUAAGCACUAAAAAAAAGAAAGAAAGAAAAAAAAAGAAAAAGAAAAGAAAAGAAAAGAGAAAAGAAAAGAAAAAAGAAGAAAAGAAAAGAAAAGAAAAGAAAAGAAAAGAAAAGAAAAGAAAAGAAAAGAAAAGAAAAGAGCCUUCACUUUCGGCCAUAAAGCAUGACCCAGCAGAGCGAAUUUAUGGAGGUAGUUUUGACAAACUCCAGUUUCAAGGUGAAGCUCUUCCUUACAGGAUAUGAUGAAUAUGUGUAAACUCUCUGGGCAAUUAGGAUUACCAUAAAGAAGAUGACUACAAGGGAGGAGAGAAGCUUAUUAUCGUGAAGGGCAGGUCAGUAUGAAGCCUUAAUCUGGUUUUGAUUUGAAUAACAUAGGACCUUACUUGUUCCCUUCUUUCAAGUGGGUUAAAGGGAUUAUCCUACUAGGUGUGAUUAAGAAUAUAGU